rnacentral:rRNA from 1 species
UAGAAACACCAUACCUAAUGGAAAAUCUCUGAUCUCUUACGAUCUCGGAAGAUAAGCAGAGCCAGAUCUGGUUAGCACUUGUAGGGGAGAACACUGAGGAACAGGGGGGGGGGUUCCAG